rnacentral:lncRNA from 1 species
UCUCAUUCCAGUUAAGUCAAAAGAUGCACUCCUACAAUUCCAGAUAUCUAUGAAGUACUUCUGUUAAUUCCCAUCACCAACUUUUCACUCCAUACAAAUCAGAAUUUUUUGUAACAUUUCUCAUGUUGUAUAACCAUGUUAUUUAUGAGUAAAGAAUCAUUCAAUAUAUAGUAGUUAGUAGUAGACAUAGCUAAUACGGUUGGGGCAUCAAGAAGCUAUAUUCUUGUCAGAAACUUAAGAAAGCAAAACAAACAAAUGGUGACAACAUAUUCAAAAUAUUAGUGUAAGCGCUAUGGUGACUAUAACUACAGGACACAGAUGGUUGCCAGUGGGGAAUGAUGAUUAGCCAUUAAUUGGCUUUUCAUUUCUAUUUGAGGCCAAAAGAAAAUAAGAAUAGAGAAUGGAUAAAUUUAACAGGUGACAUUACUAGAAAACUUCCCCUUUGUUAUUUUAUUCUUACCAGUCUCUUCAAUACUCCAGUGGGAUUCCUUGCAGAGAUUCUAAGAGUCAGUGACAAGAAAUGCUUGUGCCUUCCAGUUCCCCCUGCCUCUAGAGUUCAUGAUGAAGAACAGAUCCUGGGCAAUAGCUGCAUUUGGACAUGUGCAUCGCUACUCCUUGCAACCAGCAAUAAACAAGAAAGAGUAAGAGAGAAGAAAACUUGUUAACACCAUGCUGUAUCUAAACAAGCAAUCCCAGAUGGCAUCCUUUAUGCCUUCUGCCACUGAUAAGAAAAGAUUGAGCAGGGAAAAUAAGCAGCAGCUGACAAGCCAUACCCAGCCUUAAGACCAACAGGGAGAACAGACAUCAGCUCUGUGCUCUGUCCUCAGUCAUGGCUCAGCACCCAACCCAGAGGCCUGCCUGCCUUCAAACACCUGCAGCAGUACACUGUUUUAUGGAACCAAUGAAUCAUGGGAUGCUAUAGACCAAAGCAUUUUCUUUCUAAUUCAACCCUUAGUGUGCUGAUGGAAAGCAAGGCAUGAAGCCAUCCGUUAAUUUUAUUUAAGGACAUGUUGUUGUUAGAAAAGACAGACAAGAAAUGAGAUUCAAGAGCUCCUGACUCCUAGCCAGGAUUUUUCCCAGAACCCAAAGCUGACUUCUCCUUAAACAUGCAUUAUUCUAAUAUAUAUAUGGUUCUGAGAAUACGACAGCAGCUUCGUUGAAAG